rnacentral:tRNA from 1 species
GCCGAGAUCGCAUAACUUGGUAGUGCACAGGCCUUGAGAGCCUGGCCCUUUACUGGGCUUGAGGGUUCAAAUCCCUCUCUCGGCG